GGCGGUCGCCUGGUAACCAGUUGCGUAGGUCUGGUUGCUGCAGCGCAGGCCACGGAGGUCUGUGGGUCCGAGCUCGCGCUGCGCUCUUUCGGACCGUUUUGCUAUGGCGGCCGCCGCAGCAGUGGUCACACCGUCGGGUUUGGAGGAUGGGGUGUCUCGGUCCCGUGGCGAAGAAGCAGGGGAGGUGGUCGUGGAGCGGGGGCCUGGCGCGGCCUACCACAUGUUCGUAGUGAUGGAGGACCUAGUGGAGAAGUUGAAGCUGCUCCGUUAUGAGGAGGAUCUCCUCCGGAAGAACAAUCUGAAGCCCCCGUCCAGACACUAUUUUGCACUGCCUACCAAUCCUGGGGAACAGUUCUACAUGUUUUGCACUCUUGCUGCUUGGUUAAUUAACAAAGCGGGACACCCCUUUGAGCAGCCUCAAGAAUACGAUGACCCUAAUGCAACGAUUUCUAACAUAUUAUCUGAGCUUCGAUCAUUGGGAGAACUGCAGAUUUUCCUCCUUCAAAAUUAAAGUCAGGUUAUGGAGAGCAUGUAUGCUAUGUUCUUGACUGUUUAGCUGAAGAAGCAUUAAAAUAUAUUGGUUUCACCUGGAAAAGACCAACAUACCCAGUGGAAGAAUUAGAAGAAGAAACUGUUGCGGAAGAUGAUGCAGAAUUAACAUUAAAUAAAGUGGAUGAAGAAUUUGUGGAAGAGGAAACAGACAAUGAAGAAAACUUUAUUGAUCUCAAUGUUUUGAAGGCUCAGACCUAUCGCUUGGAUAUGAACGAGUCUGCCAAACAAGAAGAUAUUUUAGAAUCCACAACAGAUGCUGCGGAAUGGAGUCUAGAAGUGGAACGUGUGCUACCACAACUGAAAGUCACGAUCAGGACUGACAACAAGGAUUGGAGAAUCCAUGUUGACCAAAUGCACCAGCACAAAAGUGGAAUUGAAUCUGCUCUAAAGGAGACCAAGGGGUUUUUGGACAAACUUCAUAAUGAGAUUAGUAGGACUCUGGAAAAGAUUGGCAGCCGAGAGAAGUACAUCAACAAUCAGCUUGAGCACUUGGUUCAGGAAUAUCGAGCAGCUCAAGCCCAGCUGAGUGAGGUAACUGAAGAAUGAGAUCCAGGGUUCAUUCCAAUUAAUGACCCUCAGCCCUAAACGCGACACAGCACUUUUCAUUUGAGAAUCUUGAAAUGCUUUGCACAAACUGCAGCACAUUGAUUCUCUGCCCACUUUAGGAAACCAAGUGAGGCAAUAGAACGUGUCACCUCCAUUUUACGGUGAUAGAAAUUACCUCCUAGAAGUCUGUAAACGCAUCUCUUCAUCUGACUUAAGGAGAGGAAGGCAUAUAUUGCUGAGGAACAUGGCUUAGAAUGGGAACAGAGUGUCAGGACACCUGGUUUUGUUUCUAAGUCGGCUGUUAAUUUACCGUCUGAGUAGGAGGAAGUAGAAUAGUAUGCAUUUACAUGUGUCAGGGAGAAAAGACAUUCUUGCCAUAAUGGCUUACAGCCACAUAAUAAAGAAUAUGAAAGCAAGACACGUUCAGAGACAAGCAGUUUAAUUAAUUAAAUGAGCAAUUUUUUUAAUCCUUUCAAAGUUUUAGAAUUUUCACCAAAAAUAAAAACCCUCAGCCUUUGGAAGCAGCCGAGCUUUGUUGCAGCCGAGCUUUGUUGCAGCAGUAGAGCUCUGAAGACUUUCCUUGGAAUUUAUGCCCCCUCUUUCGUAAUGUUGAGGAAGACUAGCAAGAACACUUGCAAAUGUCAGUUGAAGGCAUAUUUUUUUCUUUCAGCAGACAAGUUUAGAAGGAGAGAAAAAUGGAAAUAAACUUGAGAUAUACUUCUGUACUUUCAGAGGUUCUCAAAGGCCAAGCAGCAAGUAACCUUCACUGUUUUAUUGUUUAAUUUGUUUAAUUAAUUAUUCACACAUAUACACAUCUAUUUGUUGGUACUUUUACUUUUAAAAUGCUAUAAAAAGUCUCUGAUUAAAGCCACCCUCAAACAUUGAUAUUAAGUAAUUGAUUGUUAAAUUAGUUCCCAAGAUAGAUUCCGUAUUGUCAUACUGUUUGUUAAUCCUUAUUAAUUGCUGAUUCUGAUGCUCCAUUAUGAUUGAUUUUUCAGAACUGGUUUUCUCUGCAUAAGAUGCAGAUUAGAUCGACCAAAGCCUCUGUCUAAACUGUUUAGGAAUGACUGGGGAUAGUUUUUAUUGUGAACCAUGCCCAUGUGAGUUACACAGUCAGUAUAUGAAGGUUAAGGUAGUUCAUCAUUUCAUAGUGCUUUAGUUAAAUACAGGGUGCCUAUUAGGGACAUAAAAUAGCUACUGUUAAAUGUCACUCUUCACAAAUAUAUUCACAAACGAGGAGGGGGGUCGUCAUAAAAUGAUAUGCAGAAAUUGCAAACACAAAGAGGUCGUAUUUAAGUAAUCUGCUUCUGUUUUGAAUUUGCCAUUAAACAAAAUGCUUUCUCCCUAGGCAAGGGAGCGAUACCAGCAGGGAAACGGCGGAGUAACUGAAAGGACCAAACUCCUAUCUGAGGUUACGGAAGAGCUAGAAAAGGUAAAGCAAGAAAUGGAAGAAAAAGGGAGCAGUAUGACUGAUGGUGCUCCUUUGGUGAGGAUUAAACAGAGUUUAACGAAGCUGAAGCAAGAAACGGUUCAGAUGGACAUUAGAAUUGGUGUUGUGGAACACACAUUACUCCAGUCGAAACUGAAGGAGAAAUCCAACAUGACUAGGGACAUGCAUGCAACCAUCAUUCCAGAAUCUACCAUAGGCUCUUAUUAAAACGUAUUUUUCAUGCU